AUUGAACGCUGGCGGCAUGCUUUACACAUGCAAGUCGAACGGUAACAGGCCUUCGGGUGCUGACGAGUGGCGAACGGGUGAGUAAUGCAUCGGAACGUGCCCAGAGGUGGGGGAUAACGCAGCGAAAGCUGUGCUAAUACCGCAUGUGAUCUGAGGAUGAAAGCGGGGGACCAAGCAGCAAUGUUUGGCCUCGCGCCUCUGGAGCGGCCGAUGUCAGAUUAGGUAGUUGGUGGGGUAAAGGCCUACCAAGCCGACGAUCUGUAGCUGGUCUGAGAGGACGACCAGCCACAUUGGGACUGAGACACGGCCCAGACUCCUACGGGAGGCAGCAGUGGGGAAUUUUGGACAAUGGGCGCAAGCCUGAUCCAGCAAUGCCGCGUGCGGGAAGAAGGCCUUCGGGUUGUAAACCGCUUUUGUACGGAACGAAAAGGCUCUGGCUAAUACCUGGGGCUGAUGACGGUACCGUAAGAAUAAGCACCGGCUAACUACGUG
rnacentral:rRNA from 1 species